CCUACGAGUGGCAGCAGUAGGGAAUCUUCCACAAUGGACGAAAGUCUGAUGGAGCAACGCCGCGUGAGUGAAGAAGGGUUUCGGCUCGUAAAGCUCUGUUGGUAGUGAAGAAAGAUAGAGGUAGUAACUGGCCUUUAUUUGACGGUAAUUACUUGGAAAGUCAAGGCUAACUACGUGCCAGCAGCCGCGGUAGUACGUAGGUGGCAAGCGUUGUCCGGAUUUAUUGGGCGUAAAGCGAGUGCAGGUGGUUCAAUAAGUCUUAUGUGAAAGCCUUCGGCUCAACCGGAGAAUUGCAUCAGAAACUGUUGAACGUGAGUGCAGAAGAGGAGAGGGGAACUCCAUGUGUAGCGGUGGAAUGCGUAGAUAUAUGGAAGAACACCAGUGGCGAAGGCGGCUCUCUGGUCUGCAACUGACGCUGAGGCUCGAAAGCAUGGGUAGCGAACAGGAUUAGAUACCCCGGUAGUC
rnacentral:rRNA from 1 species